AAACGACCCUCGGCAACGGAUAUCCCGGCUCUCACAUCGAUGAAGAACGUAGCGAAAUGCGAUACUUGGUGUGAAUUGCAGAAUCCCGUGAACCAUCGAGUUUUUGAACGCAAGUUGCGCCCGAUGCCAUUAGGCUGAGGGCACGUCUGCCUGGGUGUCACGU
rnacentral:rRNA from 1 species